rnacentral:rRNA from 1 species
GAUGAACGCUGGCGGCGUGCUUAACACAUGCAAGUCGAGCGGGGGAUAAACCCUUCAGGGUUUAUUCUAGCGGCGGACGGGUGAGUAACGCGUGAGCAAUCUGUCCUACACAGGGGGAUAACAGAUGGAAACAUCUGCUAAUACCGCAUAAGACCACGGGAUCACAUGUUCCUGGGGUAAAAGAUUUAUCGGUGUAGGGUGAGCUCGCGGUACAUUAGCUAGUUGGUGGGGUAACGGCCUACCAAGGCGACGAUGUAUAGCUGGUCUGAGAGGAUGAUCAGCCACACUGGGACUGAGACACGGCCCAGACUCCUACGGAGGCAGCAGUCGGGAAUCUUGCGCAAUGGGCGAAAGCCUGACGCAGCAACACCGUGUGAGCGACGAAGGCCUUCGGGUCGUAAAGCUCUGUUGUUGGGGACGAAGGGUUAGGGGUUAAUAGCCCAAGCCUGACGGUACCCUUCGAGGAAGCCCCGGCUAACUACGUGCCAGCAGCCGC